rnacentral:rRNA from 1 species
CCCUUAGAUGAUUUGGGCUGCACGCGCGCUACACUGACCCUAACAAUGAGCAACUGUCUGGCCUGAGAUGGCUGGGUAGCCUUUUCAACCCAUGUCAUGAUUGGGCUAGAUUUUUGUAAGUCUUGAUCUCUAACGAGGAAUCCCUAGUAUGCGUGAAUCAUCAAUCCAUGCAGAUUAUGUCCCUGCCCUUUGUACACACCGCCCGCCGCUCCUACUGAUUGGGUGAUCCGGUGAGCUGUUCGGCCAUAGCAAAGUUUCUUGAGCAGGGCAAUGAAUGUUUCGCAAACCUUGCCACUUAGAGGAAGGAGAAGUCGUAACA